rnacentral:rRNA from 1 species
UACAGAGGUCCCAAGCGUUGUCCGGAUUUACUGGGCGUAAAGAGCGCGCAGGCGGUCGUGCAAGUCGCGUGUGAAAGCCCCCGGCUCAACUGGGGAGGGUCACGCGAUACUGCUCGACUCGAAGGCAGGAGAGGGAAGUGGAAUUCCCGGUGUAGUGGUGAAAUGCGUAGAUAUCGGGAGGAACACCAGUGGCGAAGGCGACUUCCUGGCCUGUUCUUGACGCUGAGGCGCGAAAGCUAGGGUAGCAAACGGG